UUGACGGGGGCUCAAACAAGCGGUGGAGCAUGUGGCUUAAUUCGAGGCAACGCGAAGAACUUUAUCCUGGGCUUGACAUGUACGGAUUAACCCCAUGAAAGUGGGGCCACACUCGCAAGAGCGGAACGUGCACAGGUGCUGCAUGGCUGUCGUCCGCUCGUGUCGUGAGAUGUCGCGUUAAGUCGCUAAACGAGCGAAACCCCUAUCCUUAGUUGCCAGCGCGUCAUGGCGGGGACUCUAAGGAGACUGCCGGUGUCAAACCGGAGGAAGGCGGGGAUGACGUCAAGUCCUCAUGGCC
rnacentral:rRNA from 1 species